GCUGUUUUCUGCAUUGGUGUUCACGUUAAUUGACAUAAUUUGGAGACAAGUGACCAAGCUUUGUGAAAAACAAAUCUUGCACUGGCACAGAGCCUUGCAAGUUAAUCAGACAGAGAGAUAAUGAUGUAAAUGAUCACUAUUGUACUGUAUGAUAAUAAGACAUCAAUGACGCACAGUUUAUGUGACUAGGCUUAAUUCUCUCAACAGGUUGAGAUGAUGAGAACAAUUUGUAAAGAUUGUAGCUCUAUAGGUAACUCGAACCAAAUCUGCACUGCCACUCUUGAUCCUUCAGGCCCAAAUCUUAUUCUUCGAGUCAUUUGCAAGAGGGAAGAGACUGGAACCUGCCACAAAAGACCUAAGGCCCCUAAAGUCCCUCCCCAAGAAAUUCUUAAUCCAGCUAUAAUUAAUUAAUACAUUAUUACUCUUUAUGAAUUAAGCACCCAUUGAUUUAAGUGAUAAAUAAACAUUAAGUUAUGUACUCUCCUUUCA
rnacentral:lncRNA from 1 species